rnacentral:rRNA from 1 species
UACAGAGGGUGCGAGCGUUGUUCGGAAUUAUUGGGCGUAAGGGCGCGUAGGCGGUGCGGUAAGUCACCUGUGAAAUCUCCUGGCUCAACUGGGAGCUUGCAGGCGAAACUGCCGUGCUGGAGUGUGGGAGAGGUGCGUGGAAUUCCUGGUGUAGCGGUGAAAUGCGUAGAUAUCAGGAGGAACACCUGUGGCGAAAGCGGCGCACUGGACCACAACUGACGCUGAGGCGCGAAAGCUAGGGGAGCAAACAGG